rnacentral:snoRNA from 1 species
AAGACUAUACUUUCAGGGAUCAUUUCUUUAGUUCUUGACUUGAGAAAUGUGUUUCUACAAGGUUUGGUCUCGCUGCCCACGAUGAAGAGUUAAGAUGUUUCUUUCAGAGCAGGAAACUGGUGAGAAGACUCUGUUUCUUCUCCACUGUUGAUGAUUGUUUGGUGUUUCAGAAUGAAACACUAAUAGAAGAAACAUAUUCUGAGUGGA